rnacentral:misc_RNA from 1 species
GCCCAAUCGACAACAGAUAAGCGUAAGGCGCUAGAAAGCUUGAAAUCGUUGAAAAACCGUCAACUUAUCUCUCAUGGAGUAAUCAGGCGGGUCAUUUUCAGAUAUAUUUGCUCAUUAAUCGUUUCGUUUCGCAUGAAAUACUAUUUUAGAUCCUAAAAUUCAAAUUCCAAAACCCAAACCAAAUUUGAAUUCGCAUUUUUUGGCAAAUUUUUAGUCUUGAAGUGAUUUCUCAGGUGGUUGCUUGUGUAUACAGAAGUUUGAGAUUAUUGUAUAUGGGAAGGAUCAAGCCUCGAGCUCUGUAGCAACAGAGCAAGAAGAAGAAGGGAACGAGUCGAAUAAGUCCUGUUACUAUUCUUCUAUGCGGCUUGAUUGUUCUCUUGACUAUCUUUUUCUUGUAUUCUUCAUACAGACACUGGUCCCUCAGGUCAAGAAUCCAGACUCAAGGUCGCAAAUCAUUAGGCUUUGAGGUUGAACACGCAUUUGUGGAUCCAAAGAAAUCUGAUCUGCCUGGAUACGCAGAGUCGCUGAUCAUGCAUGCAGUUCCUUUGCAGAAUACGAUGAUUGAGGUUUGCUUCAUUUCUCUUUUCAUUUUCCCUCCCCCAGGUGUUAUGCGAGUUUGCAAGGUUGAUAUAUAACAGCUAGGAAGGGUCAACUAUGUCUAAAAUCAAUGUAGUUGUUUGGUUUUACAUGAACUUAUGCAGAGUGCUUAAUACAACAUCAACCGUCUCAUGUGGUAAUUGCCAUUGAAGGUUUUUGAUUUAUGAAAUAUACCAGAAUCAAGUAAACUUUGAAUUAAGAUUCAUAAUAGCACACAGUUUACAUGUCACAGUCCAGAUUCCAUGUAAUGUAUCUUAUUAUGGAACAAUAAUUUGUAAGUAAUUCAUAAGUAGAACUGAAAAUAAGGUAUAUUUGUAACAACCUUAUAUGCCAGUUCUUUUUUUCUUAAGUUGAUUUAUGAGUAGGUACCUCAUGAAAAGCAUCUUGCAACAAAUUUUGCUUAUUCUUCUCAAAUUAACAAUGGAAUUGGUUUUGCGGUGAAAAGGGGCACUUCAAGGGGAUGCAUUUUCGUCAUGUGAUAAAGCAUUAUGUGAUUCAAGCAGGGGAUGGUGAUAGCCUUGGGGCUGCGGAAGACUGGACUUUGAAGGGGAAGCGUUACAGUCAACUUGAUACAAGGUUGCCGGCUUAAAUCAUAUUUUUCUUCUCCAUUCUUUUACCAUUUUAUGAAUUAUUCAGUAUUUUGCAUUUUGAGGUUUACUUUUAAGUGGAUUUUGAUAUUCAACCAGUUUGAAACAUGAGGCAUUCAUGCUCGGGACUUCUAAGAGAAAACAUGAUGACAAAGGAUUUGAGCUUUUCAUUACAACUGCACCCAUCCCUGAUCUUACUGAAAAACUUAUAGUUUUUGGACGGGUCGUUAAAGGAGAAGAUGUUGUUCAGGUAAAAGCACUUUAUUUUUCUUUCUAGUUGUUAUAAGGAUUGUUUUUUUGGUCACUCAUUUUCGGAUAUCAACAUUUCAUUGUUGUUUGCUUGAGACCAUGACCCGGAGAUGCACUGUAUACUGCAGUAACCAGUAUUUUAAAUAUAUUGCCAUGGGUCAUUUGUUCUCAUAGAACCAGGAUAAUAAAUUGGAGUUGUCUCAUUCCUAAUUGGAUGAGUUUGCUCAGGAAAAAAAUGUUACCAUAUGUUACAAGAGUUGUAUUUCUGGUAGUUGCUGAUUAUGUAAUUGAAUAAUGUGCUGGCCCAGGAAAUUGAAGAGGUGGAUACAGAUGAAUAUUUUCAACCUAAAUCCCAUAUAGGGAUCAUUAAUGUGACUCUAAAACAGGAAAUCUGAAGGCCCGGAUUUCUGAUUCAACACUUUCCCACAUUGCAUUUAUUCCUCCACUCUGCCUAACAUUUUUCCUGCCAAACUUGCGAUAUGAACAGUGUGUAUCUGGGGAUCUGUGCAAUCAAGAAAUUUGCUCCGUAGAAACUAUUUUAAAUUAGCAUGCGUAGUGAGUGAUACCAAUUCUAUUUUGACAAUUUUUAUUCAGGCUCGAUCAUACACUCAAAUUAUAUUGUAUAACAGGUUGAUGUAAUCUUUGCUUGGAAAUAUUGAGGGGAAAAGGUGAUUUUGCUGAUGAUCUAUGCUUGUGAUUGGAGCUUUUUUUGCAUGUUUCUGACUCAUGAACAGUCUUUAUGGCUCCUUCUGUGAAUUCAUUGAAAGGUAUUAUUUAGAUUACUUGAGAAAAUUUGCUGUGCUGUGAAUGAGAUAUACCACAUUGCCGAUGACUUGAAACAACUGUUAACACAUUCUCAAUGUCACAACACUAAAUUUUAGCUCUAGGACGACGAACCAUGGGAUGCACCUCAACAUUUUUAAUAUAUCAACAGCUGGCUAAUUCAGACACUCCUUAGAUAUGUUGCGACCACAUACUAAACCUAUUUAGGAUUGGGACUGACCUUUUCAAGCAAGUUCUUAAGCUCAUCGCUCAUUUCAAUAUUCUCUUCCUUCAGUCUCUGACGCAUCUCAGGAGCUAAUUUGUCGGCAGCUAUGUAUGUCUUUAGCAGCAAUCUGUAAGCAAUGGAGUCAAGACUAUUAAUAUGCUUCAAGAUCUUGCAAAACUUCUCAGCGCCAUCAAUAUCUUUCUCUUCACAAAAAUAAUUAAAAAAUGCAGUCACUGUCUCCUCCUUCGGUCGCCAGUCAUACUCAGCUUCAGAAAAAACUGCUUUCACAUGAUCAAAAGCCAAGUCCAGUUGAUGGAUCUUCAAGAAGAAAACCAUGAACAGCUCCCGGGCCUUGAAGAAAGGCCCUUUGGCCCUCUUAAGUGCAUCAUCAAAGAUUGAUUCAGCUUCUUCAUACAUGUCCUGUUCGAGGUAGGCUCUUAUAGCAACAUUCGCUAACCUCAUAUCAUAACUGAGGCAACUGGAUUCCCACUCCUUAAAGCAUUUGGCUAUACCCUCGACAUCUUUUAGUUUGGCAAGUGCCUGAAGCAUUACUAGGUAACUCAAAUUGGUGAUCACAGGGAAACUCGACUUCAGGGAAUUCCACACUCGAUUGACCUCUCCAAGAUUAAACGUGCCACCAUAUAAGCUAAUCAGAAAAUGGUAAGCCUCCCGAUUACGAAAUCCCAUCUUUGCCUCUACCUUUUUAAGAGCUGAUUCAACUUUCUCAAAAUGUCCGGCCUUGAGAUAGAUCGUAGCCAGAUUACUGUACGUAGUCCACUCACAAUUAUCUUUAUCAUCCUUUUCAAUCUCAGCCAGAACUCUUUCUACUCCCUCAUAAUCAUUCAAACAUCCAUAGCUUUGCAUCCAGAUAUUAUACGUGAAAGAGCAAGGUUUGAUAUUCCUCUGUUUCAUCUCAUAAACUAAGACAGGCACCUUCUCAGGUUGGCCCAAUCCCAUAUGUAGUGACAUGAGAUUGUUAAAAGGUAAAGAAACGCUAAGAAAGUUCAUUCCAUCCAUUUUCUGAAAAAGAGCCAGUGCCUUGUCAGACAUAAGUUCCUUGCAAUAACAGUGCAAAAGCGAUCCAUAUGCAGACUGACUUUUCGCAGCUGGCGAGAGCCAAUUGAAGAAAUCCUCAGCAGCAGCUAUCCCUUUGGUUUUUGCUAUAAGAUCUAAGCGUAUUGCAUAGUCCGCAUGGGAGAAGUUCAUUUUCCUCUUCUCGAUCCACUCCAUUAUCUCAAGGGCAUGAUCGAACCUCUGAUACUUGCGGAGCUCUUUGAUGCACCGAGAGAGCUCGAUUUUCCUUAUAGGCUUUCCCUCCAUAAGGUACUCAUUUAACGUCUUUGACACACUCCCUCCAGUCGCUCCUAGAGCUGACAACCUCCGGUACAGCCGUUCCCCUUUUCUCUGGGAAAUCAUCGCCGGAGGAGCCGCCUCAGACACAGCCUCCGCCGCUGUGCAGAUCUGCCUAGCCAGCCUUGAUCCAUUCAAUAUCAGGUGGCUAGAGCUCUUCGCCAUGUUGAUCGGAUUCAGGUAAGGCUCUCGCAAUCUGCUUGAAAAGAAAAGGGGUUUUGCUAGGGCUUUUG